rnacentral:rRNA from 1 species
AUGUUCCUGAACUCCUCGAAGGCCCGAACCGGCAGGCAGAAAAAAAGGAGAACACCACCCCAAAUCCACGAACCACCCUCCACCUUCCCCGAACCACCCCCAAUCCCGCACCUCCCACUCCCUCCCGAUCCCCCACGGCGCCGCCGUAGCUGCCUGCCCAGGAUCCCGCCGCACCGCCGCUGCUGCCUGCCCAGGGCGCCGCCGCCCCCCCGCCUCCUCCUGUGCACCGCCGCCACCACCUACUCCGGCGCGACGCCGCCCCACAGCUGCUUGCGCACUCCGCGGAACGCGCGCCGGCUGCUUGUGUCCGCCAUCUCUUGCUUCACCGGCGCUGCGGUGGACUGA